rnacentral:misc_RNA from 1 species
GAUGAAGAACUUAGCGAAAUGCGAUAAGUAGUGUGAAUUGCAGAAUUCAGUGAAUCAUCGAAUCUUUGAACGCACAUUGCGCCCUUUGGUAUUCCAAAGGGCAUGCCUGUUCGAGCGUCAUUUGUACCCUCAAGCUUUGCUUGGUGUUGGGCGUCUUGUCUCUAGCUUUGCUGGAGACUCGCCUUAAAGUAAUUGGCAGCCGGCCUACUGGUUUCGGAGCGCAGCACAAGUCGCACUCUCUAUCAGCAAAGGUCUAGCAUCCAUUAAGCCUUUUUUUCAACUUUUGACCUCGUAUCAGGUAGGGAUACCCGCUGAACUUAAGCAUAUCAAUAAGCGGAGGA